rnacentral:rRNA from 1 species
ACGCACUAAGUAGACCGCCUGGGGAGUACGGCCGCAAGGUUAAAACUCAAAUGAAUUGACGGGGGCCCGCACAAGCGGUGGAGCAUGUGGUUUAAUUUGACGCAACGCGAAGAACCUUACCUGGCCUUGACAUGCAGAGAACUUUCCAGAGAUGGAUUGGUGCCUUCGGGAACUCUGACACAGGUGCUGCAUGGCCGUCGUCAGCUCGUGUCGUGAGAUGUUGGGUUAAGUCCCGUAACGAGCGCAACCCCUAUCCCUAGUUGCUAGCAGUUCGGCUGAGAACUCUAGGGAGACUGCCGGUGACAAACCGGAGGAAGGUGGGGAUGACGUCAGGUCAUCAUGGCCCUUACGGCCAGGGCUACACACGUGCUACAAUGGUGCGUACAGAGGGCUGCAAACCCGCGAGGGGGAGCUAAUCUCACAAAACGCAUCGUAGUCCGGAUCGGAGUCUGCAACUCGACUCCGUGAAGUCGGAAUCGCUAGUAAUCGCGAAUCAGAAUGUCGCGGUGAAUACGUUCCCGGGCCUUGUACACACCNCCCGUCACACCAUGGGAGUGGAUUGCACCAGAAGUGGUUAGUCUAACCUUCGGGAGGAG